GUAACACGUGGGGUAACCUACCUAUAAGACUGGAAUAACUUCGGGAAACCGGAGCUAAUGCCGGAUAACAUUUGGAACCGCAUGGUUCUAAAGUAAAAGAUGGUUUUGCUAUCACUUAUAGAUGGACCCGCGCCGUAUUAGCUAGUUGGUAAGGUAACGGCUUACCAAGGCAACGAUACGUAGCCGACCUGAGAGGGUGAUCGGCCACACUGGAACUGAGACACGGUCCAGACUCCUACGGGAGGCAGCAGUAGGGAAUCUUCCGCAAUGGACGAAAGUCUGACGGAGCAACGCCGCGUGAGUGAUGAAGGUUUUCGGAUCGUAAAACUCUGUUAUUAGGGAAGAACAAAUGUGUAAGUAACUGUGCACAUCUUGACGGUACCUAAUCAGAAAGCCACGGCUAACUACGUGCCAGCAGCCGCGGUAAUACGUAGGUGGCAAGCGUUAUCCGGAAUUAUUGGGCGUAAAGCGCGCGUAGGCGGUUUCUUAAGUCUGAUGUGAAAGCCCACGGCUCAACCGUGGAGGGUCAUUGGAAACUGGGAAACUUGAGUACAGAAGAGGAAAGUGGAAUUCCAUGUGUAGCGGUGAAAUGCGCAGAGAUAUGGAGGAACACCAGUGGCGAAGGCGAC
rnacentral:rRNA from 1 species